GAGUUUGAUCCUGGCUCAGGAUGAACGCUGGCGGCGUGCCUAACACAUGCAAGUCGAACGAAGCACCUUACCGGAUUCUUCGGAUGAAAGUUUGGUGACUGAGUGGCGGACGGGUGAGUAACGCGUGGGUAACCUGCCCUGUACAGGGGGAUAACAGCUGGAAACGGCUGCUAAUACCGCAUAAGCGCACGAGGAGACAUCUCCUAGUGUGAAAAACUCCGGUGGUACAGGAUGGGCCCGCGUCUGAUUAGCUGGUUGGCAGGGUAACGGCCUACCAAGGCAACGAUCAGUAGCCGGUCUGAGAGGAUGAACGGCCACAUUGGAACUGAGACACGGUCCAAACUCCUACGGGAGGCAGCAGUGGGGAAUAUUGCACAAUGGGGGAAACCCUGAUGCAGCAACGCCGCGUGAGUGAAGAAGUAUUUCGGUAUGUAAAGCUCUAUCAGCAGGGAAGAUAAUGACGGUACCUGACUAAGAAGCUCCGGCUAAAUACGUGCCAGCCGCCGCGGUAAUAC
rnacentral:rRNA from 1 species